GAAUUUUGGACAAUGGGGGAAACCCUGAUCCAGCCAUCCCGCGUGUGCGAUGAAGGCCUUCGGGUUGUAAAGCACUUUUGGCAGGGAAGAAACGGCGCCACCUAAUACGUGGCGUCACUGACGGUACCUGCAGAAUAAGCACCGGCUAACUACGUGCCAGCAGCCGCGGUAAUACGUAGGGUGCAAGCGUUAAUCGGAAUUACUGGGCGUAAAGCGUGAGCAGGCGGUUUGGAAAGAAAGAUGUGAAAUCCCAGAGCUUAACUUUGGAACUGCAUUUUUAACUGCCAAGCUAGAGUAUGUCAGAGGGGGGUAGAAUUCCACGUGUAGCAGUGAAAUGCGUAGAGAUGUGGAGGAAUACCGAUGGCGAAGGCAGCCCCCUGGGAUAAUACUGACGCUCAUGCACGAAAGCGUGGGGAGCAAACAG
rnacentral:rRNA from 1 species